AAACAGAAGAAUUAUUGAUUUCGAAAUGGGAUUCUAUUCGACACGCGCUAGAUGUAUUCCAUAACAUUAAUAUUCAUAAUUAUUCCAACAACUUUUCAUUUGCUCUCUCGAUCUUAAAUUAUCGUGAGCAAGAACCGAAACGCUGUUUUAGCUAGUCGCAAGUAAAGAUUCUACGUUGGGUAGAGAAGCAGAAUUGUUUUUCGAGAAGUGUUUGAAUGGAUGUGUUAUAUUACUGAGAAUGUGAGGUGGUUAGCGGUGGUCGUUGGAGGUGGUCGGAGGUGGUAAGGGGUGGUUACAGGUGAUCGAGGUGGACGAGGAGAACUAGGUGGACGAGGAGGACGAGCAUUUCUGCGCGAUGUAACUCGUGGUGGUUUGCGGUGGCUGUUGGGGGUGGUUGGCGGUGGUCGGAGAUGGCCGAGGAGGAGGACGAGGAAGACGAGGAUUUGUGCUCGGUAUAACCCGAGGUGGUCAGCAGUGGUCGUUGGAGGUGGUCGGAGGUGGUUGCGGGUGAUCGAGGUGGAGCACGAGAACUUA